rnacentral:rRNA from 1 species
GCUGUCCCUAUCUACUUUCUAGCGAAACCACAGCCAAGGGAACGGGCUUGGAAAGAUCAGCGGGGAAAGAAGACCCUGCUGAGCUUGACUCCAGUCUAACAUUGUUCGGAGACAUGCCGAGGUGUAGCAUAAGUGGGAGACGGGGGUCACGCGUGUCCGGUCGAGAGGUCGGUUCGCGCCUCGUCGCCUUUGAAAUACCACUACUCGCAUCGUUUCCUUACUUACUCGGUGAUGCGGAGCGCGUGCUGUUCGGUCCGUGGCUUCGCGCGGUAGCGAUUAGCCGUGCGCGAACGUCCGACUAGGAUAGGUCGCCGCAGAGGGGCUCCAAAGCCGUCGACGCGUCCGGCUUUACCGUCGCGACCGUCGCGGUUUCGCGAAGCCUCGCUCGCGGUCCUUUUUCGUAGCUUCGGCACGCGCGCGCUUCGGCUCGCUUCCGUCGUCGAGCUCGUUGUGGCCGACAGUCACGAUCGGUUCCCGGUAGACUUAAGCGCGUAUACGGUCGCCCGUCAACCGACCGCUCGCGGGUAGUCGCGCCGCUCGUCGACGGUUUUCGAUCGCCGACGGGUACGCGGCCCGGUGAGUGCGUCGACCAGGCGUCGUUGCGUGAUCCGAUCCGAGGACACGGUUAGGUAGGGAGUUUGGCUGGGGCGGUACAUCUGUCAAAGAAUAACGCAGGUGUCCUAAGGCCAGCUCAGCGAGGACGGAAACCUCGCGUAGAGCAAAAGGGCAAAAGCUGGCUUGAUCCCGGACGCCCAGUACGCGUAGGGACUGCGAAAGCAUCGGCCUCUCGAUCCUCUCGUCCGCUGAAGGGUUUUCAGCGAGAGGUGUCAGAAAAGUUACCACAGGGAUAACUGGCUGGUGGCGGCCAAGCGUUCAUAGCGA